CCUACGGGGGGCUGCAGGGAGGAAUUUUCGGCAAUGGGGGCAACCCUGACCGAGCAACGCCGCGUGAAUGACGAAGUCCUUCGGGAUGUAAAAUUCUUUUCUCAAGGAAGAACAAGGACGGUACUUGAGGAAUAAGCAUCGGCUAACUACGUGCCAGCAGCCGCGGUAAUACGUAGGAUGCAAGCGUUGUCCGGAAUUAUUGGGCGUAAAGGGCGUGCAGGCGGCUCAUCAAGUCAGAUGUGAAAGCCCCCGGCUUAACCGGGGAGGGUCAUUUG
rnacentral:rRNA from 1 species